rnacentral:rRNA from 1 species
GACGUAGGGUGCGAGCGUUGUCCGGAUUAUUGGGCGUAAAGAGCUCGUAGGCGGCUUGUCGCGUCGACCGUGAAAACUUGGGGCUCAACCCCAAGCCUGCGGUCGAUACGGGCAGGCUCGAGUUCGGUAGGGGAGACUGGGAAUUCCUGGUGGUAGCGGUGAAAUGCGCAGAGUAUCAGGAGGAACACCGGUGGCGAAGGCGGGUCUCUGGGCCGAAACUGACGCUGAGGAGCGAAAGCGUGGGGAGCGAACAGGG